rnacentral:rRNA from 1 species
GUAGGGAAUAUUGCGCAAUGGACGAAAGUCUGACGCAGCGACGCCGCGUGAGUGAUGAAGGCCUUAGGGUCGUAAAGCUCUGUUGAAUGGGAAGAAAAAAAUGACGGUACCAUUCGAGGAAGGACCGGCUAACUUCGUGCCAGCAGCCGCGGUAAUACGAGGGGUCCUAGCGUUGUUCGGAAUCAUUGGGCGUAAAGGGUGUGUAGGUGGCCAUGUAAGUCAGGUGUGAAAGCCCCGGGCUUAACCCGGGAAGUGCACUUGAUACUGCGUGGCUUGAGUACCGAAGAGGGUAGUGGAAUUCCAGGUGUAGUGGUGAAAUACGUAGAUAUCUGGAGGAACACCGGUGGCGAAGGCGGCUACCUGGUCGAGUACUGACACUGAGACACGAAAGCAUGGGGAUCAAACAGGAUUAGAUACCCCAGUAGUCC